rnacentral:rRNA from 1 species
UGAGGAAUAUUGGUCAAUGGGCGGGAGCCUGAACCAGCCAAGCCGCGUGAAGGAAGACGGCCCUACGGGUUGUAAACUUCUUUUGUUGCAGGACAACACCCCGGACGCGUCCGGGCAUGAGUGUAUGCAAAGAAAAGCAUCGGCUAACUCCGUGCC